AAACAUGAGCGGAUACUGGGUCAGCAAAUAGCAUUCCCUACUUUAGGACACAUCCAGGACUGGAGACAUGUUAGCGAAGUGUGGCAGAAGGACAGAGGAACAGAGGAGGUUAGGGAGCCAGGGAGAGGACAUAAAUGGAGACUAGAGGGCUCAGUGGGCGACCUGGAUAACCUGAAAGAAAGUAGAUCAUUAGGGGCAAGAGUUCGGUGAAAUCCAGCAUAGGUCUAGAGAGAUAAUGACAAAAAAAAAAAAAAAAAAAAAAAAAAAANNNNNNNNNNNNNNNNNNNNNNNNNNNNAAAAAAAAACCAAAACCCAAAAACCUAGCACUUACUAUGUCAGAGAUCUCAGUCCCAGUGAUUAAAACUUUAAAAAUCCAGGGUGUGGUUGAGUAGGGCACAAGUCACUGGAGCUGGGGGGAUUGGGGAGGGGGCACCGAGCCCAAUGUGUCAGACAGUGAAGGGGCAGAGGGUGAUGCUUUCCUGAUUGCUGCCAAGGACAAGGCAGGACAGGUAUGGGUGGCCUUAGGGUGCCAGCUGGGUCCGGCUCUGAGUCCCAGGUCCUUCCCAGGGGGGUUUCAGCAGCUCUGGUCCCUCCAAGGAUGGACUCAGAGUGGGACGGGGCAGGGCAGGCAGGGAGGGCACAGGCCUCCGUGGAUGGCACACUGACAGGCUGUCCGUCCCCCUGCAGGUCUGCAGACUAAAGCCAGAACCCCCGCCAGAGGAUCCUUCCAGAAUCUGGAGGAGAAAUACGAGAACAUUGGGAACAAAGGUAAGUCCCGCCACCAUGGUUCCUGCUCUCCACCUGGGCCUUCCUUCCUCCCCACACCCCCUCCCCACACACCUGCCCUCAGCAUCCUCCUCUCUCCCCUGCCUCACCCACCUUCCCCCAGACGACCUCACCCCUGGAACCCCCUGCCCAUUUCUCUACCCUGCCUGCCAGCCCACCUGACCUGGAGCUUCUUGACUGGUUUUAGAGCAACAGACAGACCCCAAGGAGUGUCAUAAGAGAAGCAGCUCAGACCUGGCCUGAAAUAUUACGGGGAAGUCUGGAGAAGGUGGGGUGGAAGGAACAGAGGGACUGUGGUGUGGGCAGGGCACUCAGCAUGGGAUCCCUGCUCUGAGAGUGGACAGCCCCCACCCCCUGUCUAACCCCCUUCCCUCUCCAUUCUCACCCAGAAUGAUGGCAUCCUCUAUGCCCCCCUCACCCUUCACAACGUG
rnacentral:lncRNA from 1 species